rnacentral:rRNA from 1 species
UACGGGGGGGGCAAGCGUUGUUCGGAAUUACUGGGCGUAAAGGGUCUGUAGGUGGCUUGCUAAGUCAGACGUGAAAUCCCUCGGCUUAACCGGGGAACUGCGUCUGAUACUGGCGAGCUUGAGUGCAGGAGAGGAACGCGGAAUUCCAGGUGUAGCGGUGAAAUGUGUAGAGAUCCGGAGGAACACCAGUGGUGCAAACGGCGCCCUGGGUCCGAACUGACGCUGAAGCACGAAAGCGUGGGGAGCGAACGGG